rnacentral:rRNA from 1 species
GACGAACGCUGGCGGCGUGCUUAACACAUGCAAGUCGAACGAUGAGACAGUGCCUUGCUCCUCUGGUUUAGUGGCGAACGGGUGAGUAACACGUGAGCAAUCUGCCCCUGACUCUGGAAUAACUACGGGAAACUGUAGCUAAUACCGGAUAUGCGCUCAACAGGCAUCUGUAUCGGUGGGAAAGAAUGUCGGUGAGGGAUGAACUCGCGGCCUAUCAGCUUGUUGGUGAGGUAGCGGCUCACCAAGGCUUCGACGGGUAGCCGGCCUGAGAGGGUGACCGGCCACAUUGGGACUGAGACACGGCCCAGACUCCUACGGGAGGCAGCAGUGGGGAAUAUUGCACAAUGGGCGGAAGCCUGAUGCAGCAACGCCGCGUGCGGGAUGACGGCCUUCGGGUUGUAAACCUCUUUUGGCAGGGAAGAAGCGAAAGUGACGGUACUUGAUAAAGAAGCACCGGCUAACUACGUG